CUGACGUAAUUGCGUCAUCAGCUGCGUUUGGUCAGUACUGGGAUGGAUUCGUCCGAGUGUUUACCGACUGAGCUCACCGCACCUGAUCCUGCAUUUCUGUGUUCUGUACAGAACUAAUAAACGGCCGGUGUUGGCGAGACCUGAGCAUCGCAAUAUCUUCAUUAAUUAACACAACGCAGAGCUACAACAUAUAUGAACCUGCCAGCACCCAGGACUGGCAUGGU